rnacentral:sRNA from 1 species
UAUGAAUACUAUAGGAGGAACAUUCGUC